AAGUGACUAACCACGCUGGGAGAUGCCUCACAGACCGGGUGCUGUUCCAGAUGAGCUUGGAAAGUGACCUUGAGGACACCUCCCCCAAAAAAGACUGAAGAACCUUCUUGGGAAGAAUUCUCUCCACUCUGAAGAAAAAGAAGUUUAAGCCUUCUCCCCAAGCCUUCCAGAUGAGCAAGAUGAGGCUUACAGUUGGUGAGUAACCUGGGUGAGGUCAUCUAGCCUGAAAGAGCCUGCUAUGUGAUGUAGGAGCGCCCCCAACCCCGAACCACCCACUCUAUGCAGCCGCUGGAGGAAGACACCUGGUGAGGCAGAGGUGCGGGGGGGAGGGGGUGGUAAAAAUAGAGGAAGCGAAGCCUAGGUCUCUUCCUCU